rnacentral:rRNA from 1 species
UACGUAGGGGGCUAGCGUUGUCCGGAUUUAUUGGGCGUAAAGAGCGUGUAGGCGGCCAGGUAGGUCUGCUGUGAAAACUCGAGCUCAACCUCGAGACGCCGAUGGAAACCGCAUGGCUAGAGUCCGGAAGAGGAGAGUGGAAUUCCUGGUGUAGCGGUGAAAUGCGCAGAUAUCAGGAAGAACACCCGUGGCUAAGGCGGCUCUCUAGUACGGUACUGACGCUGAGACGCGAAAGCGUGGGGAGCGAACAGG